rnacentral:rRNA from 1 species
GUAGGAUAGAGGCCUACCAUGGUGGUAACGGGUAACGGGGAAUUAGGGUUCGAUUCCGGAGAGGGAGCCUGAGAAACGGCUACCACAUCCAAGGAAGGCAGCAGGCGCGCAAAUUACCCAAUCCCGACACGGGGAGGUAGUGACAAUAAAUAACAAUACGGGGCUCUUUCGGGUCUCGUAAUUGGAAUGAGUACAAUUUAAAUCCCUUAACGAGGAACAAUUGGAGGGCAAGUCUGGUGCCAGCAGCCGCGGUAAUUCCAGCUCCAAUAGCGUAUAUUAAAGUUGUUGCAGUUAAAAAGCUCGUAGUUGAAUUUCGGGAUUGACACAUCGGUCGUGCCUUAAGGGGUAUGAACUGGUGUAGUCAAUUUCUCACCUUCUGGAGAACCGCGAUGCCCUUAAUUGGUGUCGCGGGGAACCAGGACCUUUACUUUGAAAAAAUUAGAGUGUUUAAAGCAGGCAUUUUGCUUGAAUACAUUAGCAUGGAAUAAUAAAAUAGGACGGCAUGAUUCUAUUUUGUUGGUUUCUAGGAUCACCGUAAUGAUUAAUAGGGAUAGUUGGGGGCAUUAGUAUUCAACUGUCAGAGGUGAAAUUCUUGGAUUUAUUGAAGACUAACUACUGCGAAAGCAUUUGCCAAGGAUGUUUUCAUUAAUCAAGAACGAAAGUUAGGGGAUCGAAGACGAUCAGAUACCGUCGUAGUCUUAACCAUAAACUAUGCCGACUAGGAAUCAGACGAUGUUAAUUUUUUAAUGACUCGUUUGGCACCUUACGGGAAACCAAAGUGUUUGGGUUC